GUGAUGGCUUCAGAUUUUUUGUCAAUUUGGGUGGAGUCCAACAGUUUCUGGGUUCUUCUCAGAUAGCGAUAUUUUCAUUUGUUAUUUGGCUUUAUUCAAACUCAUCACUGUAUUACAAAUCAGCUUCUGAUUCUAGAGUUUAUGCUUUGUGGGUUCUCCUUUAAUUGAUGUUGAUUGGUUUCCUUUAUGUGACCCUCAAACCCGUUACAUCCGGUUAAUUGGCUUAAAAUCUGAGCGGCUUUAAAAUCCUUAUUGUUUUUUUGUUUUUCUUUUCAAGUGACGAACCUGUCUAUUCUUUCCUGGUAGAUAAGGUGCUACUUUUCUUGGUAUCUCAAUAAGGAUUUCUUUCUGGUCUAUAAGUAUUUGCUGAUUUUGUAGUGAGUGUUAAGUGAGCAAAGAAUAUUGUUUUUUCAGUAAGGAUAAAGGAGAGAUGAUGGAAGAGAAGGAGAAAAAGUUCCUCACAGUAGCACCAUUCCAGUGUGCUUGGAGAAAGGAUUUGAAAUUCCGGGAAGCAGGGAGAGGUUGUGUGGCGUUUGAUGCUUUUGCUCAUAAUGAUGUCACUUUAGUGUUUAGGGAGAAUGUGGGGAGCCAGCACUACCAUUACAAGAGGGAUAAUAGUCCUCAUUAUACUGUGAUUCUUGGGAGUCAUAGGAAUAGAAGAUUGAAAAUUGAGGUUGAUGGGAAAACUGAGGUUGAUGUGGAAGGUAUCGGUCUAUGCUGCUCUUCUGCUUUUCAAAGUUACUGGAUCUGUAUUUAUGAUGGGUUGAUUAGUAUUGGCAAGGGAAGAUACCCUUUUCAGAAUCUUGUAUUUCAGUGGCUAGAUUCAAAUCCAAAUUGCAGUGUUCGUUAUGUUGGGCUCAGUAGCUGGGAUAAACAUGUUGGCUAUAGAAAUGUCAAUGUGUUGUCAUUGCCUCAGAAUCAUAUGUUACUGUGGAAGCAAGUUGAUUCUGGAGAAUAUGAGGGAAAGGAGGACAGUGAAGAGGAGUUGGAAGAUGAACAAAUUGAAUAUGAUAAAUGGGGGCUUGAUAAUUUCCUAGAGAGUUGGGAAUUAUCGGAUAUGUUCUUUGUUGUUGGUGAAGAAGAAAGGCCUGUCCCAGCUCAUAAGGUUAUCUUGCAAGCAUCUGGUAAUUUUCCUUUGAGUCCGUCAAAUGAAAAUGUCCUUCAGCUGAAGGAUUUAACUUAUCCAACUCUCCAUGCACUUCUUCAAUUUAUCUAUACAGGCCACACCCAGAUUUCAGAAUCACAACUUGGUUCAUUGUGGGCUUUGAGCCGACAAUUCGAAGUCAUGCCAUUGGCAAAGCAAUGUGAAGAAACCGUGGAACGGUUUCAACUGAAUAAGAAGUUGUUUGAUUCUGGUAGGAAUGUGGAAUUAUCAUAUCCAAACUCUUGGCCCCACUGUUCUGCCACCUUCCCCUUCGGACUCCCCAUCAAUGUGCUAAAGCUCAAAAAAUUGCAUUCAGCUGCACAGUACAGUGAUGUAAACAUUUAUAUCGAAGGCCAUGGUCUUGUUGCCCAGCCUCAUAGAGUCAUUCUAAGUUUAUGGAGUAUCCCGUUUGCAAAGAUGUUUACAAAUGGAAUGAGGGAGAGUAGUUCCUUGGAGGUCUCUUUAAGUGAUGUCUCACCAGAAGCAUUCAAGAUUAUGCUUGACUUCAUGUACAGUGGGGAAAUCAGUUUAGAAGGUACCAGGGAUUUUGGAAUUUUGAUGAGGAGCAAGGGAGUUGAGGAGUUGCGUGGGGGGAAGAUGGUGGAUGAGUUACUGGCAAAUUCAACUCUUGACCUUAUUUUUCAAGAGAGGUUUCACUCUCUUAAUAACUUAUUGUCAUUUGUGAGAUUUCCAUUGCUAUCAUAUCAAUUGCUGAAGAAGUUGGGCCAGAGCAAACUUUGCAAGCACAUUCACAUAAGAGCUGGCCAAAUUGUGUUGGGAUUUUUUUAGCAUCCAUAAUGUUGUUUUGUUACUUUCCAUUAAUCGUUUUGAGGACAGGAACAAUCUCAAGAAGUGGGGAAUAUUAUGAUAAUAAGGAGAAUAAGAGUUGUGAGGAUGUAUAGGAGAAUAUAUUGUAUAUAUAGGAAUGGUACUGUAACUGAUUUCAAUCAAUCAAGAAUUCAA
rnacentral:misc_RNA from 1 species